UACGUAGGGUGCGAGCGUUAAUCGGAAUUACUGGGCGUAAAGCGUGCGCAGGCGGUUCGUUAUGUCCGUUGUGAAAGCCCCGGGCUCAACCUGGGAAUGGCAAUGGAAACUGGCGGGCUAGAGUGUGGCAGAGGGGGGUGGAAUUCCGCGUGUAGCAGUGAAAUGCGUAGAGAUGCGGAGGAACACCGAUGGCGAAGGCAGCCCCCUGGUUGGAUACUGACGCUGAUACGCGAAAGCGUGGGGAGCAAACAGG
rnacentral:rRNA from 1 species